rnacentral:rRNA from 1 species
AGAGUUUGAUCCUGGCUCAGAUUGAACGCUGGCGGAAUGCUUUACACAUGCAAGUCGAACGGCAGCACGGGUGCUUGCACCUGGUGGCGAGUGGCGAACGGGUGAGUAAUGCGUCGGAACGUACCGAGUAAUGGGGGAUAACGCAGCGAAAGUUGUGCUAAUACCGCAUACGCCCUCCGGGGGAAAGCAGGGGAUCUUCGGACCUUGCGUUAUUCGAGCGGCCGACGUCUGAUUAGCUAGUUGGUGGGGUAAAGGCCUACCAAGGCGACGAUCAGUAGCGGGUCUGAGAGGAUGAUCCACCACACUGGAACUGAGACACGGUCCAGACUCCUACGGGAGGCAGCAGUGGGGAAUUUUGGACAAUGGGGGCAACCCUGAUCCAGCCAUUCCGCGUGAGUGAAGAAGGCCUUCGGGUUGUAAAGCUCUUUCAGCAGGAACGAAACGGUACGCUCUAACAUAGUGUGCUAAUGACGGUACCUGCAGAAGAAGCACCGGCUAACUACGUGCCAGCAGCCGCGGUAAUACGUAGGGUGCGAGCGUUAAUCGGAAUUACUGGGCGUAAAGCGUGCGCAGGCGGAUUGUUAAGCAAGACGUGAAAUCCCCGGGCUUAACCUGGGAAUGGCGUUUUGAACUGGCAGUCUAGAGUGUGUCAGAGGGGGGUAGAAUUCCACGUGUAGCAGUGAAAUGCGUAGAGAUGUGGAGGAAUACCGAUGGCGAAGGCAGCCCCCUGGGAUAACACUGACGCUCAUGUACGAAAGCGUGGGUAGCAAACAGGAUUAGAUACCCUGGUAGUCC